AAAUACCUAAAUCUUCUAACCAGCACUGGAUCUUAUAAACUACGGGUCGAACUGGUUAAUUCCAAAGGCGAAAACUUUUAUGCUGAGUACAGCUAUUUUCGUGUGUAUCCUGCAUCAUCAUAUUACUCUUUGAGAACAGUUGGAUACAGUGGAAAUGCAGGAAACCAUAUGAGUGCGAACGAUGGAUGUAAUUUCAAAACCUAUGAUCGUGAUACUGUUAAUUGUGCACGAAAUAACGGGGCUUGGUGGCACUGCGAUUGUUCGCUUUCAUCAGCCUUGAAUAUUCCGUAUAACAAGACGCUCAGAUGGAGUAGUGGAUAUAUCAAAUCAGACAUGAUGAUACAAAGGACCGGAUGACAUCUUUAUACAUAACCUGAUUCCAUGAUAAUAAACUGGUCAGUUCUUGUUAUAAACAUGUUCAGCUUUAACGUUAACUUUCAUAAAAAUUGCGUUUCAGUCUUUUAAAUCUUUGCUAUGUCUCAAAAUUGUUUUAAAAAGGCUAUACAUAUUUAUAACAAUAAAGGGGUCGACAUUUAUACAUUUGGGUCAAGAUACGCAAUUCAGGUAGACAACAAUGGUAGCGUUUUCUUCCAUUAGUAAACUUGAAUAUGUAUAAUGGCUCGGUUUGAAGCUGAGACAUAUGUGCUUAAAAUUUUAAGGUUCGAAUUCAGAUUAAAUUGUUCACAAUGGGGAAAACCGUUUGAUGCGGCUUUCGAAAGUGAUAGUCUCUAUUUUAACACUGUUAAAUUCUCAGGAAAUUUAUUUCAUUACAUACAUCUGAUAACUCCAGAGUUUUUACAUCUUUAUUGUACAGUCUUCUGCUCUUCAUAAAACACAAAUGGUUAAAAUACUUAAAAUAGCGUUGCAUACAGGUUUUUUAAAUUACUUUAUGAAGUAGAGUUCCUGAAUUUCAGGCGUAUUAGUAAUAUUACAUAUACCACCUUAAGGGAAAACUUUUUCUAUAGGAAAACUAAAAUAAAAAGAAACAGUAACAUUGAUAUCGAUAGGCUACUUUUCAAAACCAGCACAAAUAAUUCGCGUUUCUAUGAUGUUUCUUUACAAGUAAAUGAUUGUAUGCAUUUAUGUUAUGGAUGUUCUGUCAUAUGAUAUAAACACAAAACAGUAAUGGUGAUACGAUCGUAUUUAAAAAAAAAAUUUCUUCUUCUUCUUCUUCUUCUUCUUCUUCUUUACGUAGUGAUAGCUGAAUAAAGUUUAAUAGUUAUUUAGUAUAUUCUUGUGAUCACAAAUACUGAUAAAGAAAACAAAUUUCAAUGAACGAGUGAUAAUUGAAGAAUGCAUUAUGUUAAAGAGCAAUAAAAUGCAGAGAUGAAAAUAACCUUUAAAUCACCUUCUUAAAUAUUGUUACACUUCUAUGGUUUCUUUAUUACUUUAUUUUUUUGUGUUUCGACUAAGUAUUUGUGAACUAUAGGUUGAAAUCUUUUUCCAUUGUGAAAUUUCUGUUUAUGUGGAGGUACAUUCCAUUUGCGCAUUUAUAUGGAAUUUAUAUAUCUCUUGAUAAAGAAUUGUUCCUUACAAAGAAGGUAAUGAACCAAGUGAAAGUUAAUCCUUUGUAAGUUUUAUAAACUUCCUCAUGCUUGUGUUAGCCAUCAGUUAUAUAUGUGUCAAAGGUGACCUCAGAUAUGUUCAAAUUGUUGCCACCACUUCAAUUUUCCUCGAGUGUGAUAUCUUUGAAUGUAACUUAUCACCGAAUUUGUACUUGUCAUAUACGCAAAAUAACGGAUACCACCAGUGGAUCAGGAUCUGCUUAUAGGUUGCACUUCUGUAAACAUAGGCAACGCAAUUGCCCAUAGGAAUUAAUUUUACGGCUAAAACUGUGACACUUUUAUUAUAAAGUUUCGUAAAAAAUUUAUCCUAGAAUGGAAAGUUCAUACUAUAUGCUCUUCUAUUUUUUUCAAAGGUCAAAAUAUAGAACUGUGCGACAUAUUUUCAACAUUUAUAUGCCUCAAACUUCUUAGAGUUUAAACUAAUACUAAAUUAUGUAAUACACCUCCAUUCUCUAUGGUUCUCCAGGAGAUUUCCAUUUGGCCGCUAUCCAUGUGUAUUUAUAGUGGUAAAAUUCCCAAGUUGUGUGUCUAUGAGAUGAACUAUAGAGAUCAUAACUGGGAACCAGUUGGUUAACAAAACAAAAUAUCUAUGAAUUUCACAUAUCUUCUCGAAUUAGGCGUGGUUUGUAAAACAGCUCUAUUUACAAAGUGCAACCUAUUAGAGCACAUGACUUUUCAUUUCUUUUAAAGGGUACUUUUUUAUUUUGUUGUAGUUGUCAAUGUUGUAGUAUGUUUUUUUUUUUAUUAUUCAAUGUUUCUUCUGUUUCUACCAUGAAAAGCCGUGCACACCCUUUUACCUUUGAAAACAUAGUUUUUAUUUCAAACUUUAUAAUUGAGUCCAGCUUGGAAUGCAUACUUGGUGUCUUUUCCAUUAUUUGUUAUUUCUGAUACAUUUUAAAAAUAUUUCACAGUAGACAGUCAGAUAAGAAAAAAAAAAGACUUAUAGUUUAUAAGAUAUUAUUUUAUUGUAAACUUAUAGAAUGACAAAAACCUCAUGUUUUCCUAAAUAAAAGUCACUUUUUAUUUUGCAGAUUUUUUUUUAUCUGCAAAAUGCGUGCUUUACACGCGAAUAUUGCACACUAAAUUGUGGUUACGUUCUACAGGGAAUAUGACGUUGCUACUUAUUUAAAUUGUUUGCUACUUUCACUAAUACAUAAUGAUGUUCGUUACUCCGUUUCAAAAUAACAAGCUUUUUAAAAGACUGUUAUAAAUUGAUAUUAUAUAAAUAAUAGAACUAAAAAAAAAAGAAAGAAUUGAAAGGUACGUGUCCUUUUUUUUUGAGAUAAAAGAAGAAAAUUGUGCGGGAAAUGAUUAUCUCUAGAUUUUUCAUACAUUUAACACUGACACCUUUUUUCUUUCAAAAACUAUGAGAAAAUAAUAAAAAAUGUAUAAGAUUUAAAAAAAUGGCUUUUUAAACAAUAUGUAAUAAAAUUUUGAAAAGAAAAGUAGGUGUUAGCGAUUAAAUUUUGUUUAAAUGUCACUACAUCGAUAAAAGCAGAGGAUUCAGAAUAUCUGACAAAAAAUCCAAAACAAAAGUAGCGAACAUCCUAAAAAGAGAAUUCCGGACUUGUAACGUAAGGUAUAUUUCGUUUGUAAAGGCGAUUGAACUAGAUUCAAUUUCGAUUAUAUCAGUUUAUCAGAAUGAAUCUCAGUCAAAUACAACUUUACAAUACAUAUGUAUUUGAAAUCCGUCAGAUACUUAAUUUACUUAGAAUAUUAUACGUUAUGUCGCAAAUCCGGAAUUGUUGAUCAUUUUGUUUGUGGAAUUUACCAAUAUGAAAUCAUGUGUGUACAAUAUGUUUAGUAUUAUUCAACUAUUCAAAUGUGCAAUGUGUAUUGCAAUUUCAUAGUUAAUACUAGUCUAUUGUUAAGAUUCCCUAUCAUUACCAGAGAAAGAAGAAGGUAUGAAAACAGUCAUCAUUUGAUCCUUAUCAUUAAAGAAUGCAGAAAUGUCAUUCAAAAUAUUAUAAACAUGACAUACUGUUAAAAAUUUUAUUACAUAGCUAAUUAUUUUCGGUAAAACUUUACGUGAUCAACAACAAAAAAUCUUUGACUUAUAUUAACAUCUUUGUAUCAGACACCUUGUGACAAAAACUCUUUUCAGGUUAGGCUGCUCAUUUUAAAUAUUAAAUGAAAGAUCCCAAAAUGCAGCAACGUUGUAAUACCUUCUCCUUUCAACAUUUUUUUUAAAAUUAGAAUAUUUUUUUUAAUUAUGUAUUUAUAUAGUUGUUAUCAGAAACAGUUAUCCGUGUUAUUUUUAUAUGUGUAUUAAUGUAGUUGUUAUCACAAACAGUUAUCUGUGUAUUUAUAAAUGUGUAAUAAUGUAGUUGUUCUCACAAACAGUUAUCUGUGUAUUUUUAUAUGUGUAAUAAUGUAGUUGUUCUCACAAACAGUUAUCUGAGUGUGUAGUUUUAAUAUAUGUUUCUAUGUAGUUUUUAUAUAUGUAUCUAUGUAGUUUUUAUAUAUGUACCUAUGUAGUUUUUAUAUAUGUAUCUAUGUAGCUGUUAUUAAAAACAGUUAUCUGUGUAGUUUUACUAAUGAAAGAAUACCCUUAUAUUACACAAAAAUUUAUUUUAGAUUGCAUUAUUUGAAACGUUUACUGAAAUGAAGAAACAAAAACAAAAAAACAAUUGUAUGGAAAUAUGUUCAGACUUACAAAUUUAGUGUAUAUUUCUAUAACAAAUUCCUACUUUUGGGAAAUAUGAAUGCAAGGAGAUUCUGGAUAAACGUAAACGACGUUUGUGAACUUAUAGAAUGACAAGAACAUCAUGUUGACCUAAAUAAACGUCACCAUUUCCAGGUAAAAUGUGUGCUUUACCCGCGAAUAUUGCACGCUAAAUAUUUGUUACAUACUACAGAGAAAAUGAAGUUGCUUCUUAUUUCAAUUGUGUGCUACUUGCACUUAUUCUUAACAGAGAAUUCUGGACUUGUUACGUAAAAUAACAUAAUUUGUACUUGUUUGCUACUUGCACAUAUACUUAACAGAUAAUUCCGGACUUGUAACGUAGAAUUACCUAACUUGUACUUGUAAGUGUCAGACAUAUAUAUUGCGUUAAUAGUGGUCGAUUGAACUUGAUUUAAUUCUGAUUAUUUCCCGUGUACCAGAACACAUCUGAAAAAACCUACUUUACCUUAGAUAUGUAUGUGUACUUGACACACGUCAGAUAUUUAAAUAACUUAAGUAAAGUAUACGUUAUGUCACAAAUCCGAAAUUGAUUAUCAGUUAGGUUGUGCAAAAGUGUCUAAAUUUGUCGUAGAAUAUUUUACCUGUGUAUUCAUGUAAUUGCUAUCAUAAACAGUUAUCUGUGGAGUUUUAAUAAUAAAGUAAUGCCCUUUUAUAGUUAUUUACUUUAAAUCGCAAUAUUUUGAUUUUGCUUAAUCGAAAGAAAAAAAUUGUACAGAAACAUAUUCAGACGAAUUGUAUCUUUCCGUAAGAAAUUUUUAUAUAAUUGUUCUAUUUAAAUUAUAUUAAAAAAAUUACCAGUUAUGGAACUUGUUCAGUCUGAGUAUAUAUUUUUAUAGGAAAUAACUAUAUUGUUUUUUUUUAAAUUUAAUUACACACAUCGCGAACAUCACCAUCAGUGUGUCAAAACAAUGGUGUCGGUGUUGACAUGCAAUAAAGUAUCUUGACACCUCAAAUCAAUCACAUGCAAUUUUAAUAAAAGCCGGAUAGAGUUGUAUUGUUCAUAAUGUUCAUAACCGCUUUUAAGUACAGGCCAAAAUUUGGUUACGUUCUGCAAUCUGAUUAUGAGAUUGCUUCCCAAUUGACCGUUUCAGAAUCUAAUGCAUUCUGGUUUACAUUUUUAAAAGCAUUAACCAAAACAUUGUGAUUGGUUUAGAACGUUUUUAAUAUUGGAAGUUCAACCAAUGACGUAACGGUAUGUUCAUUUGUUGUGUACAAACAAUGAGAUUAUCCUUAUUUCUUGAGAUUUUGAAAAGGCGAAUUAAUCUAAAUGUUGUUUUAAUUAGAUUUUAAUAUGUUAUAUGUUUGCAGCUUACAUUAAUACGUUACAAAAAAAAAACGUAUACGCAUUUCACUUACCGUUAGUACCAGAGAUACCAUUCAUUUGUAUUUGGAGGAAGAAAAUGAUUCAAAAUUGAUCAUCGAAGGUUAUUUGAAAAAAGCAACUUGUAAUUAAAGGGGCACUAGCUGUCAAAUUCAUGAUCACUGAUUUGACUCAAAAUCUCAUAUUUGAUUUAUUACAAUGAAAAACAUUCAUCCAAACUAUUAUAAGUCUAUAAUCAACAAUUAACAGGGCAAGGGCAUGGUAAUACGUAGCUUCGUUUCGUGUGUAUUUUAGACUAGACGCCAUAUAAUUAACUAUCGAGUUGACCUCGAAAGUCGUCCGAUGACCAUAUAAGCGAUGUAAACAUAUAUAUGAAUGUUAAUAUAUUAAGCGAACUCUUGCUAUUGGAUUUUUCUAGGUCUGUUUAAUUUCAUAUUAUAGAUUAAAAAUUAAGUUUAUCAUUUUUUGUAUAAGAAUGAUUUUUUGUGGAUCGAAUCAGUCAAUCAAAUGAUUAACCUUUUUUCACUUUCAAUGUUGACAUUCUUUUCCUUUGAAUAGCUUUACACAUACAAUUCAUGUGUUAUCCAUCUCUAGCUAAGGGGUUAAAUUGAUGUUCGCAUGAAUACGGAUUCCAUGAGGUCGAAUUAUUCACUUGCAAGUGAAUAAUUCAUCAUCAAUGUUUCUUAGCUUAUUUUAACAAAAUUGACCCAUACUGGCUGCUAAAAGCGAAUAAUUAUUUCACUAUUUCACUUUCAUAAAUGAUUGAACAAAAAAAAUCAUAUAUUCGAUUUUUUAUAUAUCUCGUAGCUAGUGCCACUUUAAGUGAGAUACGUCAGAUAUCUAAGUUAAGUAUAACAUGUAUAAGUAAUGUUGAAAGUCCGGAUUUUCUAUUGAUUAGUUUGUAUAUUUUUUGUGUCAGAAUUGUGCAAUGUAUUUUUUUAUGUGUGUAUAAUGAGUAAAGUAUGAUUUAAAGUUUUAAAUGUGAAAUGUGUAACGCCGUUUUAUAUUGAUUAAGACUAUACUUUUGUUUUAAGUCGUUUUGAUACAUGUUAUAAAAAGGAUAAAAAGUAGGUAUGAAAGCAGAAUAAGGAAUUUGUAGUUCCUAAAGUCUUUUUAUUAAGAUGAAAUAUUUCAAAUUAAAAAAUGAUAUCGUCUUGUCACUUGAAUACAAAAGUGGCUUUGAAGAUUUCAUUAUUAAAAAAAUAGUAAUAAUAAUAAAAACUCACACAACAUCUUACAUUUUACAUAAUCAAUAUACUUACCCCAUAAUUAUUUGUUUUCAAUACAAUUAUAUUUGAUAAGAAGUUUACCCCCUACACAUUAGAUAACGUUAAUAUUAUUAAAUUUGUCUGCACUGCAUGUGGCAAAACAUUUUUUUUGGUGAAGGCUUCCCAUUUUUAAAUAUCAAAUGGAAGAUUCCAAAAGGAUGUAAUGAUGCCAGCGUGGCGCAAUCAUACCUUCUCCUUUACAUCCUUGAAUGGUUUAAGUUUGAUCAUUUUACAUGUAUAUUUAUGUAUUAGUAAUUUCUGUUGGUAAGCAAAAUAAAUUGAUGCAACAUUACAACUG